UCAGUUCUUUUUUUUUCUCAAUCUUUCCCAGGUCAACAGAGUGGCAAGUACACGAGUAUGUACAUGUACAUAUACGCAUAUUAAUAAGUGACAGAAUAGAAAGGUCUUGGCAGUCUGCAUACCACUGCUAUGAAGCAUUACAUUACCACUCGUUAUUUGUUUCUGGCGCGUCGUACAUGUAAUCUUGCCUUUGCAUACACAGAUCACAUACGCAGAGACGAACAUUCACGCAUAUAUACCAUGCACGUAGAUUGCUACACGACGGGAUCCAUCACACAUUCACAUGUCGACGUUGCAGCUCGGGUCACCAAGAAGCGGCGCCAGGGGCACACCGCCGGCGGCGCCGCCGUUCCCGAUCCCGAUCUUGCGGACGCCGAUGAGGAGGUCGCAGCGGGCGUAGAGCGAGCGCCACCCCCGGUGGAACGGUUCGUGCACGAACCGGACGCGGCCGAGCAGCACCACCCGGAGCGGCAGCACGGCGUUGGCCACGUCCGCCGCCAGCGCCGCCGCGGCGUCGGGCGACACGGGCACGGGCGCCGCGACGCC
rnacentral:misc_RNA from 1 species